rnacentral:rRNA from 1 species
AAAUUUGAAAUCUGGCCUUCUGGUCCGAAUUGUAAUUUGUAGAGGAUGCUUUGGGCGCGGUGCCUUCCGAGUUCCUUGGAACAGGACGCCUUAGAGGGUGAGAGCCCCGUACGGUUGGACACCAAGCCUAUGUAAAGCUCCUUCGACGAGUCGAGUAGUUUGGGAAUGCUGCUCUAAAUGGGAGGUAAAUUUCUUCUAAAGCUAAAUACCGGCCAGAGACCGAUAGCGCACAAGUAGAGUGAUCGAAAGAUGAAAAGUACUUUGAAAAGAGGGUUAAAUAGCACGUGAAAUUGUUGAAAGGGAAGCAUUUAUGACCAGACCUUUGCUAGGUGGAUCAUCCGGUGUUCUUCACCGGUGCACUUCGCCUAGCUUAGGCCAGCAUCGAUUUCUGUAGGGGGAUAAAGGUCUAGGGAACGUAGCUCUUUACGGAGAGUGUUAUAGCCCUAGGCGUAAUACCUUUACGGGGAUCGAGGUUCGCGCUUCGGCAAGGAUGCUGGCAUAAUGGUCAUCAAUGACCCGUCUUGAAACACGGACCAAGGAGUCGAACAUUUAUGCGAGUGUUUGGGUGUUAAACCCUCACGCGUAAUGAAAGUGAACGGAGGUGAGAGCCCUUAAGGGUGCAUCAUCGACCGAUCCUGAUGUCUUCGGAUGGAUUUGAGUAAGAGCAUAACUGUUCGGACCCGAAAGAUGGUGAACUAUGCGUGGAUAGGGUGAAGCCAGAGGAAACUCUG